rnacentral:rRNA from 1 species
AUGGACUGGGAUUUGCCUCGCGGGCAUUCGCCUUUCUUUGCGGACGAGCACCAGUGCUCCAGUUCAAGACCAAGGGAUUGGACACCAGCUUUGGAUGAUCGCAGGCGGCGUGGCUCGUCGCCGCCAGGGCGCCACGAGGGACGCGGUCACGUGCAGUCCCGCGAUGACACGUUCUAUCGCUCCGGCCCCUUCCCGGUGGAGCGCGGCCGCGGCGACGGCUUCGAGGCGACACCCCGUCCAAGAUUCUCCCAUGGAGCCAUGUUCCCCGAGCGCUCCCCUGCCAUAAUCUUGGAGGGCGAGAGGCGAUGGACACCGUCUCCUCAGGAUCGCCGGCGGGGAGCUCUGUUCCCGGGGUCUGACGGCCAUGACCCCUGGACGCAGCGCUCCAUGGAGAGACUGGGGCAGCAGAGCUCGCCACGUGGAGACCGUGGGGGCUCGUUCCUGGAGACAGGAGACCGUGGGGAGCCCUACCCUUUGGGCCCGCCGCCUCCACACAAUCUCGGGGGCGGCAGAGGGGGCUUCCCACCACGGCGGUUCUUUCGCGGGAGGGGCGGGCUCCAGCAAACUGGGCCGCCAGGCGGCAGCGGACGCCAGCGAUCGCCUCGCCAGAGCUCGGUACUCCCUGCGCUGCGCACCGAGCCUGAAGCGUCGGGCGGCAGCCGACGCAAGGCAUUCCCCCGGAAGAGGUUGCCCCGCCCUGUGCGCGGAGUGCUGUCGGAGAAGCAAGUGGCAGGUGCUAUCAAGUCGACAGGAGUCGAGGAGCCGCAGCGUCCUUCGGAAUCUAAGCAUGAUGAUUCAAAUGGGGCGGUCAGACCGGAAGCUGCAAAUUGUGAAGGAAAGAUCAAGCCAGAAGCUACGGUGGAUGAAGGAGAUGGGACUAUCACCUCUGGUCUGAUUGUAGGGAUGUGCACAGAUGUACAGAAAGGCUACUUCCGUCUCACCGGGCCUCCAGAUGCAACAAAGAUAAGACCAAAGCUUGUACUUGUAGAAGCCCUGAAGUUUGUCCAGGUCUCAAGUAAAGACUACAAUUUUAGAACAGAUCAACUGAAAUCAAUUCGUCAAGAUAUGACUAUCCAGAACAUAGAGGAUGAACUUUCUGUGCAGGUUUAUGAGUAUCAUGCAAGACUUGCGUUGUGCAAUCGAGAUAUGGCUGAACUUAACUUGUGCCUCACGAAGCUGCACUGCCUCUAUGGGAAUAAGCGGAAUGGUGGCCAUCAUGGUGAAUUUGCAGCUUAUGAUAUAUUGUUGUCUGCGAUUCAAGACAAAAAUACUGAACUGAUGUCUAAACUUGGAAGGCUGUCAAGCGACCUGAAACAGCAAGAAACUGUGAAGCAUGCCAAAGAAGUGGCUCACAGUAUACAGACAGGGAACUAUGCAUCAUUUUUCAAACUCUACAAGGUGGCUCCAAACCUCAAUGGCUACCUGAUGUGUCUCUGCUUUGAGAAGAUGAGAUUUGAAGGUUUAAAAUGUAUGGCAAAGGCCUACGCAACCAAGAUACCUGUUAAAUACGUAUCCAAAAUCUUAGGUUUUGCUGCAGUAGACGGAAGUGUUGAUUGGCUUAAAAGUCAUGGUGCUGUUUUAUCAUCCUUCGAGAAUGGGGAGAUGGCUUUACUGCCAAAGGACUCUACAGCUCUCGUCUCUAAGCCAGAACUUGCUGCUGAUGGUAUUCGUGCUUUCCAAGCCCGCUGA